ACCAAGUCCAGCCCGUUUCAGCCCUUUUGAUUUUUACCCUUCUCCUAAACACACCGUUUUGCCUAAUACCCCAAAACUCCCUUCUUUGGUUUUUUAAACCCUAAUUCCCUUCUUUCAUCUUACUUUUCUUCUUCUCUCUCUUCCAGUCGCUCCCUUCUCCUUCUCUUCAGCUGAAACCAGAGCUUUUUUCACUGCCGCCUGAAACCCAACGUCCGCAGCCUUGCAAGCACCCAUCAACCGGCGGCUUACAGCCCUUUUCUUUUUUCUUUCUUUCCUUUUCUCCGAACAGCACCUCAUUACUCUUCCUUUCAAUACCCAAACAGAAAUCAAGCCCCUGCUUAAGCCGUGGCCUGAAAUCCAACACCCGCUGAGCUACAAGCUUCCCCAUUUCCUUCUCCUUUCCGAUUUGAUAGCCCCACAACCCAAACUAACAACUAAAAUUCCCUACCUCUUUUUUUUGGGCUUUUUCUGUGGUUUGACCGUUGUUUUUCACCUGUUAGUGAGGAAUGAGGCUAUAUUUUUUGGUUUUUUUUCUUUUGAUUUUUGGUAAAAAUACGCAACAUGAUUUUUUUAGUGUAUGGAGUCUUUUGGUGGAAAAAUAAGUUUUUUUUAGGUGUUGAUAGAGUGGGUAUAUGGUGAUGGUCUUUGGGCAAGGUUUGAUGUUUAAUUGUAGCAGUUUAGGUUGGUUAAGGCCACAAGCAGUGGUGGUGCAGACUUGUGAGGGGAGGUUGUUUAAAGGGGUGGUGAAUUGGGUGGAGGUGACAGUGGCAGCAAACAGAAUAGAGAGUUGGAAUUUUCGCUUUUUUUUUGCUUCUUACUCUUGUUUCUCUCUUUGAAAAAAAUCCCUCGUUGUCAAAUUGCUGAAGGUUAUUAUAGUAUGAGAGAAUUUGAAGUCUCUCUGCUUGGUGUCCAGCAAAUUGACUUAAUUUGAUUGAUGGUUUUGGAACUUUGUUGCAGCAAUGGCUACUGGCUUUUAGGACAGUGGAACAUGCUUAUUUUGGGGAUGUGGUGCCUGCUGGUUCUGAGUAUAGGGAAAGUGAAGGGUAAUUGAUCAAAUUAGGUUGAAGGUGAAUAAGGUAAAAUGAUAAGGGGAAAAUGGACUGCUAAAAUGAUGAGGCAAUUUGGGAGGAAGGGAAAGUGAGGAUUUUGGGAGAAUUGAAUGCGAGGGGAAGGCUGCUGUCAUGCCGUCAUGUAAGUUGACCCUCUUCAUAAAUUGUGACAGAAGAAAGUGAGAAUCUAUAAUUUAUAAAAUAUAUAAAAGCUGUCCCCAAUUAGUUUUAACGGGAACAGUUCAGCAAUGAUAUCAAAUGGAUUGGAGGGUAAUUUUUAUUUUUAUUCUUCUCCAGAAGCUUCUUAGUUCUUUGAAAAGAGCAUUCCUUUUUUCGAUUUCCUUCUUCAAAUCUCAUUCACUUCCAAGUAAAGCGAGAGAAUCGAGUGCCCCAAUCUUAAUAUCUAUAAUAUUUUCUGUUUAUUUAGGCCCUUUUAAUGGGUAGGAGGGUUGCUGCAAAACUGUUGUUGAAAUGGAUUUGAUCUCUGAACAAAAUGGGGUUGUUUCAGCUGAGCUACGGGCUUAACAUCUACACAGAGGCUUACUGACUCAUUGGCAACUUCUGCUGAAGUUUCCCCUGAUCCAUUUGGAGCAGAAGCUAAAUAUUUUAUAGAAAUUUGCCAUUUGAAUAGAGAUGUACGCAUUGCCCUUGAAGGUGUUGACAAAUUUAGUAAGGCUUUAGCCAAGGACCCCCAGAAGAAAGACGAGAAAGAGGACAAUCUGACACUUUUGAACUUGCAUGCACCAAACCUUAUAAAGUACAAGCCUCGAGGAGCUCUUCGAACAAUUUUUAAGGAAUUGAGAUUCGUUUCCAAGACACGGCAACGAGGAAGCUGCCACUGACAGCUCCAAUCUCGUUGCUGUUGAUAAAGCUACCGAAGGUGUCUUCAUGGGAGAACCUGACGUCUCUUUUGUUGAUUGCAAUGGCGAUGAUGAUAAAACCAGUGCUGAUUAUUAGUUUGAUUUGUGCUCUCACUUUGAAACAGUGGAUGAGGAAAAGAAUAAUUUCUAGCCAGUAAAGCUAAGGAGUGGGAUUUUAUAGUCAGCUAUAUUGUAUGUUUUAUUGAUCAUCUGCUUUUAUUUGAUUACAAUGUAACAAAAUAGCGAUUCAGGAUGAAAAAAAAGAUAGCAGAAUGUGGCUGCUCAUAGAAUGUGGGGUUUCCCUUCUACUAUUCAAAUGGAGAGUUGAUUGUGCAGUCUUAUACAUUGGAUUCAACUGUUUGCUUGGGCUUAGCAUUCAAUCUCUUUCAUAUAUUCUAAAAGUAGUCUGGAUAAGUUAGUUUUGUUGUUAAAUAAAGUUAUUAGUUUUUGAUGCAUGGGGUGCAUGCAAGCAGAUGGUAAAGAAUACGGUGAGUAGGAUGUUAUGAUAUAGUUGAUAAUGAUGUAUUCUAUACGGGCUUAUGGAGUAUUACUGUGACAUAAAGGAUGAAUAUUUCUAAUAAAGAUCAAUGGGCUUGACAUGAAUGAUUCUUUUCUUUCAGUUAUUGUCUUAAACUGAGAUCUUUUAAGUCACUGUUAAGUUUGAAAUGAGUCAUUUCUUCAGAAAUUUAUAACUGGUUUAUUGCACCAGUAGCACAUAAGUUUAGGAACAAAUAUUCUUUUGAAUAUUUGCUUGGUUAGUUAUAUUUGAGAUUUGAGUUCUGGUAGAUUAACGAUUAUAGCCAUCAAGCUAUAAUUAAUAAAAAUCCUAUUGAACUCAUGCUAAACUUUGUUACAGUCAUUUGGUGACAAACAGAAUCAGUAUUGAUUUUAGGCAAUGACUAAACCCAUGAGAUUGAACUAAAUGGUUUUUGCUUGCAUAAAAACAUAAGAUGCUAUGGUAUUCACGGGGAACAAAAAAAAAAAAAAAGUUUAAGUUAUUUCUCUUACCAUGCUCUUCACCAUUAUAUUUCUGUUACUUUGAAAUUAUGUCCCUAUGCUAGCAGACAAGAUUUCAAGAGGGUUGGAAAGAGUGGAAAAAAGGGGGAGAGAGAAUUGAAUGGGCUAAAAAUGGAUAGAGAAGUAGAGAAAUGGUUACCAAAAUAGAAAAUGGCAGCAGAAAAGUGGCAUAUAGUGAGUGAUGAAAAGAGAGUGAAAAUGAAUUCAAAAAAGAAAAGAUUGAGAAUAGUAGAGGAAUUAAAUUUGUGCCAUAAAAUUUUUGAACUUGCUACCAGUGUGUAAGACAAUAAUCUUUUAUUUUCUUAUAUUAUCAAAAUAGUUGUCAUGCUUAAUGCUGCUUUUUAUGAAAAUUGAGUUGUGCUGUAAAUGGAGGUUGUAUGGUUUGUGUAGGGAGUGUACUUGCCUCAAAAGCUACUCCUGAGACUUGGAUUAAAAUGGUGAACUCAAUGCAAGAAGGGUCUUUGUCCGCCCGCCUUGGGAUUACCAUGAUAUAUGGGAUUGAUGCAGUUCAUGGCCACAACAAUGUAUAUAAGGCCGCCACUAUUUUUCCUCAUAACAUUGGUCUUGGAGUGACCAGGCAAGUUAUAUAUCUUAAGGAAAACAUGUUCUUUGAUUUUUUUUAUCAUUCAAGGUUAUACAUUCUGCCUAAGGUAUGGAUUUUCAAUUUUGAUUUGUCAUAUAGAAAGCUGUUAUCCUAUCUUGUAUUAAGUGCCUUUGAGAUUCAAAUCGCUUGACCUGCAUUGAUAGGUAUGGUACUUAAUUUAGAGGAUGAAAUUUGAGUAAUUGUGAAUUGCAUUGUCUUUAGUCGAAUGAUGUUACCAUGAAUUUUGCAUUCUACAAGGGUGAUUAUUAUUACAUAGUUGUUUACUUUAGAAUUUGAUCACUUCAGCCUUUUGGUUCCUUAUGAUCUUUCCAUAACUUUAGAGCAUAUCUGAUUAAUUGUGAUGGUCUUCUUUAGCCCUCAUGUUCUGGUACUUGAAUUUGAUUAAUUUUCUUACUUUUGUAUAAUUUUGUGUUUUGAUAUAUUCUUUUUGUUGUUGUCCUAUUUUUGUGGAUAUGUGAAUCUCAAGCCAUUUGCCAGGUGUUGGCAUAUGGGUCUAAGGAUGAUUUAGUUACUGUUUUCAGUUAGACUAAGAUUUUUUACUUUUCUAUAUCUUAUAUGGUUCUGAAAGCUUUAGUAGUUAUAGGGUUGGUAAUUGACCGAGAAACAUCUGAAAGAUGAAAUUUUUAAGUAACUUUUUUGUUUAGUUUGGAUAGGAGUUUUGGUCAAAAAGCUGCAUCUUAUAAUUUUGAUCAAGCUUAGCUAUGAAGCUGAAAGUAUUAUUGGUAAGAAUUAAAUCUUCAAGAAUUUAAAGUUAUAGCUAGAAAAUUGGGAAACAUAAGUUAUGUGGCUUGAAAUCUAUUGUUGUAGUUCUAUUCUACUUUGAAAAUAAGAUAGUUUAUAAUCGGUAGAAUUACGAAAUGGACCUGAGGAUCCUUUCAUUGGAUAUCAGACAUGAAAGAAAAGUGGAUGGAAAGCUUUUCAUGAACUUUUAUAAUGAGAUGCUUACAUAUGUUUGGGGCAUCAUUAUUUAAGAUUGUGAAUUAUUCCCAACUAUAAUUUUUGGUACUUAAUUUCUAAUGGGCAUUAUUUUUUGGUGGUAGAACUGAAUAUAAUUUAGACGAUGACCUGUUGGAUGGAGAGUUCAUGUUGACAGGAAAAUGGUAUCAAAGAAAGAACAUAGAGGUGGUUUGCACCCUUGGAGGUACUGUGUUAGUUGUUAUCCGGCUCCUACGUGUGAUCUGGGUUACAGUUUCGUAUUUCGAAUUAAGUGGGAACAGUUUUAACCAGGGUGAGGGUUACUACUUCCGCACUACACAGCUAAUAACAUAACCUUAUCUUUGGCUAAAGGCUAAAGACUAAAGUGAUCUCUUUCAGAGUUUGGAAAGAGCACCGCUCCAGAAUCCAAAAAAUCUAUGGAUUUGGAAUUUUUUACGGAUGUGCUAUUGUAAAUGUGACAAUCAUACUAGUUUACACUGAUACUAUUGAAUCAUUGAUCAAAUGGUUAAUGUACCCUGACCUUACUUGUGCAAGACCGGAAACGAAUUCAAACUCGUGUCAUGCUUUCCUUCAGCUCAAGUUCCUUUUCAUCAAUGUAAUGGUCUGGAAGUACCAAGACUGUAAAACUCAAAUCACUACAUACUUUUUCCAGGCUUAAAUGCUUUCAAAUAUUCUGAUGUUAUUGAUACGCCCAGGACAUGCCAAGUAAACAGAAAAAUCUACCAUCAGUAUUCCAGCAUCUUCCACCGAUAUGACCAGCUCAACGUGGAAGCCCUGCUUAUCAUGGAUUUAAGAGCCCGCAUGAACAGUGAGGGAUAUUCCUCGAGAUAUAUGCUAAAUAUCAUUCGUCAAAAGACUAUAACGGAGCCAACCAUCCAUGUAUGGCUGGUAACUGACCCAAGUGUUUUCGCACCAAGUCAGGGGUUUGGGUCCAGGAACCUCCUAGGCCCCCCAUCCCCAUCCCUCGGUCCCCUCUCUUCUUUCAGAAUUCCAAUGAUAAAAAGAAAAGAAAAGAAAAGAACAGAACAGAAGAAUUGAACUACGAUGGAAGGGGAAAAAGGCAAGAAGGAAAAGAAAGAGGGCAAUUUUUGGUUAAGUAUUCAGAAGGGAAUCAUUAUCCAUCUAGUAUAUAAACAUACCAUGAAGCACAAUACUCGGAUCCUGAAGAGGGCGUGGACCCGAAACUAACAUACUGAGUGUGUGCUCCAAGAUCCACAAACAAAACAACUCAUGAACAUUCAAGAAACCCUUUAACCUAAAUGUACUGGAAAAUUUGUACGCGAGUAAGACAAAAAAAAUUAGUGAAAAGCAGUAUCCAUCCUGUACUUUGUUGUGAAGGCUAUAGUUGUUAGCUCAAGAUGAAGUAAAAUGGCUUUAUUUAAUGAUCA